GAUGAAGAACGCAGCGAAAUGCGAUAAGUAGUGUGAAUUGCAGAAUUCAGUGAAUCAUCGAAUCUUUGAACGCACAUUGCGCCUCCUGGUAUUCCGGGAGGCAUGCCUGUUCGAGCGUCAUUAAAAUCACUCAAGCUUAGGUUUACCUAUUGCUUGGUCUUGGAGAUGGAAGCCAAUUCAUUGGAAUCCUCUUCGAAAUCCAAUGGCGAAGACCCUUGCUCUCCCAAGUGUAGUAAUAACUUAUGUCACUGAAGGAAGCGAGAAAUCUUCCGCCGUAACCCCCAUAUUUUCUAUGAUUGACCUCGGAUCAGGUAGGGAUACCCGCUGAACUUAAGCAUAUCAAAAGCGGAGGA
rnacentral:misc_RNA from 1 species